CGGUUCGACCCGGACCUAUCGUCUGCGGCAUGGGUGCCGGCAAUAGUUGCCGUCGAGUAUAACGGAGAGGUGUGCUUGUGGACAUUUGGAUUACCUUGAUGAUAUAAGAUAGAAACGGGACUGUUUAAAAGAUUUUGGAAAAGUAACGACAUGAGAAGGACACGUGAAGAAAGAUUGUAUCACAUUCUUCAAAAUAGACUGAAAUUAAGAUGAUCUACUCUUGCCGUCAAACAUGUUACUAACACUCACAAGUUUCGGAUUACAGCAAUCUUUCACUUCUCAUUCUUUUUACAAAGAAUGGAUUCAAGUUCCUCUGCAAUGCACAGGUUUUUAAAAACGCUGCUUGUAAUUGUUAUGAUCUUCUCGGAAAAAGCAUCCUCGACAACUGGUAAAACAUUCCCUCCAUAUCUUUUCCUCUGAGCUUAGCAAAACGUGCGUCAAUUAUGUUCACCUAAUGAAUAUCACUGAAGCAAAAUAUAAACUGAAACUUUGUUAAAAGAACCAAGUGUGUACGCAUUGUUUUAUU